AUAAAGCACACACUUCAGCUGAGUAAGAAGCGAUGCCAGCUGAAAGCAACAGAUGUCCUGCCACAGGAAGUGAGUGGAAUGCCAUUUGUGUUUCCCCGGACAGCUGUGCAAACUCUCGACUUGAAGAGAGAAGAGAGGAAACGAGCCGAAAAGCCUCCUCGAGGCUCGAGUCGAUUCCUUUGUGCAUACUGUGGCUAAGGCCUGGGACUACGAGACAGCAGCUGCUCACUGUGGGGAUCACCGCUGGUUUGGGAAUGGAUGGAAGAGGGUGAAAGAAGAAAAGUGGGACGCAAUCAGUUUGGUGGACUGGACUCUGCCAUUGAGUAAAGUCAGCAAGACAGUCAACAGUGUGAAUUAAAUUAUACAUAA